UACAGAGGUCUCAAGCGUUGUUCGGAAUCACUGGGCGUAAAGGGUGCGUAGGCCGCACGGUAAGUCAGAGGUGAAAUCCCGGAGCUCAACUUCGGAAUUGCCUCCGAUACUGCCGUGCUUGAGGACUGGAGAGGAGUCUGGAAUUCACAGUGGAGCAGUGAAAUGCGUAGAUAUUGUGAGGAACACCUGCGGUGUAGACGGCUUACUGGACCAUCACUGACGCUGAGGCACGAAAGCGUGGGUAGCAAACAGG
rnacentral:rRNA from 1 species